rnacentral:rRNA from 1 species
UUCGCAAUGCCCGAAAGGGUGACGAAGCGACGCCGCGUGUGGGAAGAAGGCCUUCGGGUUGUAAACCACUGUCGGGAGUUAGGAAAUGUAAGGAUAUUAAUAGUGUCUUUGUUUGACUAAGGCUCCGGAGGAAGCCACGGCUAACUCUGUGCCAGCAGCCGCGGUAAUACAGAGGCGGCAAGCGUUGUUCGGAAUUAUUGGGCGUAAAGAGCACGUAGGCGGCCUUGUAAGUCAGUUGUGAAAGCCUUCUGCUUAACGGAAGAACAGCAUCCGAUACUGCAAGGCUAGAGUGCGGAAGGGGAGAGUGGAACUUCUGGUGGAGCGGUGAAAUGCGUAGAUAUCAGAAGGAACGCUGGCGGCGAAAGCGGCUCUCUGGCCCGUAACUGACGCUGAGUGUGCGAAAGCUGGGGGAGCAAACGGGAUUAGAUACCCCGGUAGUCCUAGCCGUAAACGAUGGGCACUAAGUAGAGGGGUUUU